UGGGGCACCCAUGAAGGGAUUAGUGCCCUUGUAUGCAAAGGACGGACCACAGCUUUCUCGUUCCACAUUGGCCUGAAGAAGAGGUCAUGGGAGCAAUGACGAGAAGGUAGCUACCGACACACCAAGAGAAGGUGCCUGAGAACAAAACCUACCUUGCCAGCCCCUGAGUUUGGACUUCUCAGCCCCCAGAACUGUGAGAAAUGAAUUUCUGUUGUCUGAGCUACCCUGUAUAUACUCUUUGUUACAGCAGCCUGAGCUGACUGACACCCGACUAGAAAUCUUAGCCAUGUCCAUCCCUUCCCCUGACUUGAAGUCCCGAUUCUAAGAUGCAGAGAGUUUAGUGACUUGUCAAGUUGCCAUGGAAAACCUGUUGUAAAAACAGUUCGGACGUUGAAAGAUACAAAAUGGCCUCUGGAGAUAUUGCAGAAGCUUUCCUCUCCCUCGAAUCACCUCUGGGAGUUCAGCCUCCUAGAGGAACUUUCUGGAAACUGGUGAGAAAAUGCUGAAUAAUUAAUGCUCAAGUGGGAAAGAUGAUGUGAAAGCAAAGCACUGUUGCUAAUUGCAUCUGCUCAUAGUUCCUUAAGCCUUUCACCCCUGCACUGAUAAGCAGUAUGUAAUAAACAAGUCCCUUUAAAAAAAUAAUAACAUUUAAUUAAACAGAGGUUAUCUUAAAUGAGCCAGAGUGAGCACAACUUGCUUGAAACAUCUGGCUGACUUCAUCAAGAAGCCCUAGGGCAGUCAGGCAUCUACCGUGACCGGCCCCUCAUGAAAAUGCCUGUCUUUAACCCCUUGAAGGCAGGCUGUCUAGUUUACUGUGGUUUCUGCAGCACCCAGUGCUACACCCCGGCCCUUUAUUAUUUUCUGUCAUCUCACAGUUUCUCGGAAGCCUUGGCCAGUUCCUCUGUGCUCACCAUCUAGGCUCCUAACAGACUUUCCCUGCGUACAGUUGCCCGAUCCAUAAAUGGAGUUGGCAGCCUUCUUGUGUCGCUCACAGGAACACACAACACCCUGAAUGGAUGCAGAUUUCAGUCCCAAAGGGAAACAGUCCUUGCCACAGGAAAUCAGGUGAUUAGGAGUAUCCAUGAGCCCCGAAUAGAUUGUGCCAACUUAACUCCUCAGGCACAUAAAGGCCGAGAAGGAACCAAUUCAAAGGUGAGUUUUUAAAAAAUCUCCUGACAUUGUUUGGAAUUGUCACAGGGACAGGAUGGUCCAAUUGAACAAAUUCCUACUCACCCAGCAGGGAAGCAAGGAACUGGGCGGAACACCUUGGCCUGGGCAUCUGCAGAGCCGGCUUCUCGUCUCGGGCCACAGUGACCUUGGGCGAUCUCUGCACUUCCCUGCCCUUGGGUUUCUUCCCUUCCAACAGAGGCUGGGUUGGAUCAUAGAUAAGGCCCCGUCCAGCUCCAUCACGUCAGACAGGCUGUCCUCCCACCCGGGCCAGUUUCUAGAACAGGGCUGAUGCUCUACACGUUUGCCAUGGAAAUGAGCGGAUGAUUCGCUUUCGUCCUGACGUGGAUCCCAGGAUCCUCCCCAGCCCACUCGGGCCUCAGCCUGGAGGAGGGAAGGAAGCACAGUGACAGUGGAGGAAGGAAACGAGCUGAGACGCGCUUCCCGAGACGAAGGUCUGGACUCUGUCUCCUAGGAUAAGACAUUUCUAAAUUGCAUUUUCCCCUAAUUAAGGAUACCAUGCAGAUUUGAAGACUAAGCCACACCCCGGAAUCCGCAUGGAGUCCAAGGACCUGUUCGUCCCAGCUGGCCUUUCUCCGACGGCGGUAGUGUGGAAAUCAGGUUUCUGCUACAGAGACCCCUUAUCAGUGCAUUGAAGUUUAUGGAGAGAAUGUUUGUUAUCAGCUAAGUGGACUGAGGUGGUGUAAAGUUUCCAGAAGGAGUAAGGCCCACCGGUGACUCUGAGGGAGUGGGAGGCCAGCAAAGACAAAUGAAGGACCUCUCAGUGUCGCUGGAGAGAAGCCACAUCCAGCAAGACGACAGUGAUGAGGUCAGACUGAAAAAACAAACGUACAGAAACAAACAGCUCCUGAGAAUGGCACGACUGAUGGGAAAUGGUCCCCAGAACAGCAUGCAAAUCAGCAUCAGAUUUACAAAGACUUCGAGUGGAGAGCCUAAGGAAGCCAUCUCUGACGCUCACGGUAUGUGGGUGAUGGUGCCGAACCCCCAGAGGGGAAGCAGUUUGCAUGUCAGGCCCUGGUUUCAGUUCUGUGUGGAUUCACUCGUGCCAGCCUCCCAGAGGCCAAGGAGGAGGAGCCCCCACCUGGAAAUCGAAGCACAGCCAGGGCAAGGAACUCGCCCAGCUCCCCCAGUUCCUCAGGGCAGAGUUGGGAUCAAACCCAGGCAGUCGCCUCCCAAGCCACCCUCACAACCCUGUGGCUGUUUUGCCAGCUGCACGAGCCAGUGCAAGUGAGUAGCAGGACCAGGACUAAAGCCCCUAGUCCUGCUCCUAGUCCCUAGUCCUUCCACCAUUCUGCUCUUUCCUCACAUGGGCCCAGGAGGUUCCCCUCAGAGCCUUGGCCCUUGCUGGCCCUUCUGCCUGGGAUGCUUUUCUCGAUCUGCGCAGAGCCUGCUCCCC